AUUAAUAUGAUGAAGAAUCUUGUGUCCUUACACCAUCGACUAGCUACGGCGAUGCUGUCGAAACUUUUAUCACCAUCUUUCGCCUGAGAU